rnacentral:rRNA from 1 species
AUUGAACGCUGGCGGCAGGCCUAACACAUGCAAGUCGAACGAGUGGCGGACGGGUGAGUAAUGUCUGGGAAACUGCCUGAUGGAGGGGGAUAACUACUGGAAACGGUAGCUAAUACCGCAUACCAUCGGAUGUGCCCAGAUGGGAUUAGCGAGUAGGUGGGGUAACGGCUCACCUGGGAGACGCGCCCUAGCUGGUCUGAGAGGAUGACCAGCCAGACUGGAACUGAGACACGGUCCAGACUCCUACGGGAGGCAGCAGUGGGGAAUAUUGCACAAUGGGCGCAAGCCUGAUGCAGCCAUGCCGCGUGUAUGAAGAAGGCCUUCGGGUUGUAAAGUACUUGCAGCGGGGAGGCGUUACCCGCAGAAGAAGCACCGGCUAACUCCGUGCCAGCAGCCGCGGUAAUAC